GAUAGCCAGGUUUCAGUUAAAACUAGAAGAAUGGCUCUGUGAGACAGGCCCUCCACUCUCCUGUAGAUCCUGUUGUAAGUGAUGCAGAAGCCAGAGAGAAGGUUGCUCUCCAUCGGAAACAUGAGGAGUUUCGGAGACCUCCCUAAAAUAUUUGGCCUGAAAGGGUUUGAAGCCAGGAGGAGAGAUGCAGUCUUAGGAGAAACGUUUCAUGAGCUGUAGCAGGAAUAAAGAAGCCUAUAUUCAUAAGAAUGCUGAUUCUUAAAGGGCUAGAAAGGCCAGUUGAAGAAGGCCAGUCUGUAGAGAUGCCUGGGAAUUCUUUGAUCUUUUUGGAGGCUAAAGGAAGUAAAAUUCUGCUAUGGAAAUUGUCCUAUUAUAUUUCUGCUUUCAAGAAGUGGCUACAAGAUUAUGAGGUUUUGCAAUGUUGCCCUCCUAGUCCUGUGUACAUUGCUGUAAAGACUCCCAGGCAUGGAGGCCAUCACUGGCACUGUUCCUCUCAGCAGUUAUUUGGGUGUGAAGUUCCUCACUCCUGCAAGACUCAGCCUGAAGGAGCAUGUCUACAUGACCCACCUGCACAAUCUCCCCACUUGUCAGUAACAGCUGUGAAAUCUGCCCCUGUUGUCUUUAGAAACUGAAAGAUGGAAAAGAUCUCAGAUGCUGUGACCCCCAUGUAACAGAUGGAGGAAUUGAAUCCAAGAGAUGAAGUGACCACUUUGCCUAAAAUCAAAUAGCCAUGUAGCAGCCGAGCUAAAACAAACAUUCAGUCCUCCUGAAUCCUAACUCAGUGAUUUUCUCUUAAUAUCAUAUAAUAACAUCCAUUGUUUUCCUGAGUCUCCCCUAUCAUUUUACUAUUCUUCUUGAUCCAUUCAUAUUAGUUUUUUUUUCUUUUUUGGAUUAAAGGUGACCUUAAUCAAAAUUUGAUAUUUACAUAAGUAUGAUAUAAAAUAACUUAUAUCUAUAUUUAAUAAUUUCUUAUUUUAGUUGAUGCUUUCAAAAACUGCCAGAAAACAGAUUUUUUUGCCACAAGCAGUUACAGUUUCAUCUUCAUAUUCCCUCUCUUAACAUGCUGAAAAAUUAAGCAUACAUAGAAAUGCUAAUUAGAGUUGUCUUCCUUGUCAAUGCUGUGAUUUAUAUUUGACCUGUUUCCUAUCAGAUUUGCCACAAGCUAGAAUCUUCUGAGGAUUUCUGCUUCAUAUAUAUUCUCUACCAUUCGGCAGACACUAAUAAAGAGUGUCAAAAUCCUGGCAAGAAAA
ensembl:lncRNA novel transcript